rnacentral:rRNA from 1 species
AAUGAACGUUGGCGGCGUGGAUUAGGCAUGCAAGUCGAGCGAGAUCUGUAGCAAUACAGUGAAAGCGGCGAAAGGGAGAGUAAUGCGUAGAUACGUACCCUGGGGUUCAGGAUAGCCAGCCGAAAGGCUGGGUAAUACUGGAUAAUGUCUUCGGACCAAAGAUUUAUUGCCCUUGGAUCGGUCUGCGUCCUAUUAGCUAGUUGGUGGGGUAACGGCCUACCAAGGCGAAGAUGGGUACUGGGUGUGAGAGCACGACCCAGCUCACUGGGACUGAGACACUGCCCAGACACCUACGGGUGGCUGCAGUCGAGAAUCUUCCGCAAUGGGCGAAAGCCUGACGGAGCGACGCCGCGUGCGGGAUGAAGGCCUUCGGGUUGUAAACCGCUGUCGGAGGGGAGCAAAUUUUGAGCGAUCCUCGGAGGAAGCACAGGCUAAACUCGUGCCAGCAGCCGCAGUAAAAC